AAUUUCUCAUAGGCUUUGCUUUUCAAAAAUUGCAAUUACAAAAAAUUGCAACCUUCCAUUCUUCUUUUUAUUGCAUCCUUUGUUUCAAGUUUUAAUAUGUCUGAUUAAUUAGAUCAAGUUUUAGUCCCUUGUUGGAAUUUGAGUUUAGAGGGAUAGGAGGCUUUUCUAUGCAUACCAUUAUCCAGCAUAUUUCCUAAUAAUGAAAGGGAUGAUGAUGAUCAGUUCUCUGAUGAUGCUUACAUGGAAGAUGUGGUAGUAUUCGAUACUGAUGAUGAUAUUAUGGAGAUUCUUGAGGAUGCUCUUGCUGAUAACAAUCCUUCAAAGAUGAUCAAGCCUGCUAGUAAAUCAGCCAUUGAAGGGUUGAAGAAGGUAAAGAUCGAUGAAAGAUCAUUGGUCAUGUGUUCGGUGUGCUUUGAAGAUGUUUCAAUCGGGACUGAAGCCAAAUGCCUGCCCUGCUCCAUGUUUAUCAUACAGGUUGCAUUGUUAAAUGGCUUAAAGAGAGGAAUUGUCGAUUUUGAUCUAAAUGUUCUCUUGUCUGCCAUUGAUUUUGAUGUGAAUUCUAAGAAAAUGACUGCUACUAAUUGAUUUCAAUGUCAUUUAUAAUAUGUAAUUAUUGGGGUUUUGUUCUGUUUUCUUUUGUUUCUUUUGAACAAUUUGUUUGUAAUCUUAAGGGUACUCAAAUCAGAAUGAAAUUGUCAUUUGGAACCCAAACCCUAAACCCUAGUCACCCAAGUCCUUAUGUUGCAUGAUUAUUAAAAAAUAUACCGAACUUUUCUUUCUAAUUCUGAUGUUUUGGUAUUUCUUAUAAUCUGUCAAUUUCUAUACAUGACCGUGCUCUCUACAACUUACUGAUAUAAAUUCUUGUUGAUUAGUUUGUUUUGUUUUGCAGGGUUUUUCUAUUUCUUAUAAAUACCUUUGAGACCAAGAUUGGUCCUAAACAACAUUGUUCAGUCAAUCAAUGUUCAAUGUUUGAUCAAAUCAAGUGGACACUUUACAGGAACCGGGCACAUACAGAGCGUUGAGUUAGUAUUCAUGAGAGCAAACAAGAGAAGCUAGUGUUUCCAACACAAUGAAUUGAUAUACUGACUCAAAUGAAACUAAAUCCAAUGAAUUGAUAUACUGACUCAAAUGAAACUAAAUCCAACUUAGAAAAAGGCAGUAAAACUUUUAAUCGUAGCUAAAAAAUAGGAAUAGAAAGCGAAGAAAAUGGACUCAAAUCCCGCUUGUUUUUUAAGUGGUGACGUCUUGUCAGAGCCUUUGAGUUGAUGGUAUGGGUAUUGGAAGUGUUAAUAGUUUGGUGAUUGUAUUGCUAGAUCUAUUCUUCCUAAUUCUCUAGUCAUAGAUGUAUUGUAUUGUUGCGAAUGCGCCUCAGUCUCAAGUUUCAAGUGUUUGAGGAAGUGAGCGAAGUUUCUAAUGUGAGAGGAAUAAUAUUCGAAAACUUUUUUUUUUAGACUAUGCUUAAUGGAUAUUUUUAGUUCAUAAUUCUCUUUAGACUCUAAUUACCCAUUUCUAUAAGAAUUCUAAAAUUCUUUUCCAGUUUUAGAUCUCUCAACAACAACCUCUUACUCAGUAAAUCUAUUACAAAUUCAUAAAUCCUCCAAGGGAUUUUUAUAUUUGAUUAUAUGUUGCAUACCUGCUAUGCACAAAACACAAAAAAGGGCAGUUAUUUUAUUUUCAUCAGAGAACGAUUAUUCGAUUAUUUUUCCUCUUAUCUAAGACUGCAUUACUAGAAUCAAACUUUGUGCCCAUAUUGGGUGUUUUCAACAUUCUGUUUCAGUUCUAUUUUCUGUUGUAUUUUUGGUUUCGUGUCUCUUUGUCUAACAGCUCUGAAUAUUUUGUAGCAUGCCUCCUGAUUUAAAUACAGAAAACAUCAAAUUGUUUGAAAAGAAUCCUCUAUUUUUCACAACCACUUUGAUCUUAUAAGCUUUCAACAGAAAUUUUCUUGUUAAACACAAAGAAGCUCGAAUCUAUUUCAACUAGAAUUGGUGGGGUGCGCCUGGCCCAUGCAGUAGUGCAACGCAUAGGCGACGCUCGAAGACCCCAGCAGCAAGCUGCUGUGAUGGGCCUUCGCCCUCAAAAAAUUAAUUUAAUAUCAUGUGGAUCAAUGACCCACGUAUCAGAUAUUAAACUGAUAAGAACAGAUACUACACUUGAUCUUAGCCAAAAGGCCGAGAAAGGUAUGCUUUGUAAAUGUUCUCAACUUCUCUUUUAUAAAUUGCCUCGCCCAAACCCUUUUCAACUGUUCAUGAUGUGGAAUAGAGAACACAGCCAAGUGCAGUAACAUCUUAUCUUUCGAUGACCAGACUUCGAAAACUCUCAAAUAGUUACCUGAAUAUCAGAGCAAAAUCUGGCAACAAGAACACUCCUAACAUUUACCAUUUCCUUGGGAGAUUAUUUAUUAAUAAUUUAUGUGGUCAAAAUGGUAUUUGGCAUCCGCUUCGAGAAGGCAGUGUUCAUAUAAUCUAUAGGUAUAAAUUCAAUGACUGGUUUUACGCUGUGUUUAGCUACGAAAUCAGUCAUCUGUUGAGUCUCCUUCAGUCUUUCAAUCAUGCUUAUCUUCCUUGCCGUUAAGGGUAUAAUUCUUGUUAAUUUCUCAGUCUUAAUAUCAAAUCAUGUCCAAUACUAAAAAUCUAUACUUUAUAUAUUAAAAGUAUCCUAAGGUUUAAGAAAGUUAAUAGCUUACCUAACUUAUGAGUUUUGUGGGCUUUGAGAUAUGAGGAGUGGGUCUAUGUUUAACUGCCUUUUUUUUUUGUUUUUUUUUUUUUGUGGUGAGCUUUAGAAUUUGUGGUAUUUUAUUUAUUGUUUAUUGAGUAGGAUUUUUUUCAGUUUUGUUUGAGAGGGCAGAGGGUUCAGUAUUAUCAGUACCAGCAUUCAAGUUCAUAGUCACUUCAAAUGAUGUUGCAUGAAACUUUCUUUAAAGAGCGACAAAGUAAAGCCAAUUAUUGAUCCCAAUGGCAUUUUUCCUUUCUCUUAAAUUGUCUAAAGACUUUUUUAUGUUGAAAUUGGAAGAGUUAUAGAAAAAGUGGUCGUAUACCAAUCCCAUGAGACAAAAAAUUCUUGUAUAGUACUUAAUAUAAUCCGUUCAUAAUAUUUGAUUUUAAAUUGUGUAUUUUAAUUAUGGUUAUAUUAAGAUAUGAAAUAACAAAUUUUUUAAUAAAUUAAAUAAUCCCCUCUAUACUCUUAAAAAGAUAUGUGUCGAGAGUAUAGAGAAUUUAUAGUUAAUUUUAUAUAAUAGUUAUUGCUAUUUACGAAACAUAAAUAAUGAAAUUUUAAAAAGUUUAAAUCCUAUCAUAUUAUUCAUAAUAUAAAUAUUUUUUAAUUUUUAAAAUAUAAUAUUUAAGUUGAUGUACAAAACCAUAAAAACUGAUUUACAUGAUUUACACCUACAUUAUUGGUGUAAAUGUUUCUUAAACCUAUAUUGACUUUUAAAUAAACCAGAGCAAUCUAUCAGUUCGGUUAAGUCAAUUAUAAAAACUUAAAAACCGAUUAAUUGGGCUUCAUCUGUUUAAGUAACCAAAUUGACUAAUUAAUAGUACGAAAAUAAAAAGUAAUUGAAAUGACUUAAAUCAAUUGGUUUUGUCGAUUUUGUUGGUCCUUUAGUUUCUAGCAAGUUUGGUCAAAGAUUAUUUGUCAUAAUUAAUCACUGUAUUAUCUUUUUGAAUUUGACUAUUUUCCAUCCUAUGAUUUUGAACUAAUCCAUGUGUGGAUAAUUAAGUUGAUCAAAUUAUGUAACGGAUAUCUGUACAUUAGUUAAAUGAUUAAAUUAAUUCUUCUAUCUUAAUGUUUUCAAAUUGGAUUCAUAUACUUCAUUUUAUUAUCAAAUUGAAUCAAAUUGUUAAUAGUUCAAACUUGUUCCGUUAAACUUGAUAAUGUGAUAUUUUAAUUUUUUUGAUGUGACAUUUUUGCUUACGUUGACGAUUAACUUUGUUGACAUGUAAAGUCUAUGUGGUCAAAUAUGAUAACGUGAUAAAAUUUUUUGACAUGUCAUCAGUUUUUCAUGCCAACUUCUCUUAAUUUGCACAACUUAUCCCUAUAUUUUGGUUAAAUGGUGGAAUUAGUCUUUUUAUCUUAAUGUAUGUUCAAUUUGAUCCCUAUACAUAAAUUAACUAUCGAAUUUAAGAUUUAAUCUAAAAUAAGUAAAAUAAAACUAAAAUAAAAGACAAAAAAACUUUUCAAUACAAAUAGAUCGAAUUGUAAACAAAGUCAAUGUAUAGGUCAACACAAGAUUUGCACCAAACCCCUCUUGAAAAAUAACAUCGUUUCAACCUAUUAUAAAAACAAUUUUUUUUUUAAUUUUCCUUUUUUCUCCUCUUUCAUCCUUGUUUUUCUCUUACUUCUUUUUACAAGUCUCCUCCAAAGAACUCAUAUUUUAAUGGGAUUUAUAGAAAUCAGGGAUUGAAAAAUUCAACAAUCACAGAAAAUUUAUCCAUAAAAACUAAAACCGUUAAUACCCAGAAAUCGAUUAUCGACACCACCAUUUUGUAUCAUCAUCUAAAGCAAAAUUGAGCAUAAUACCCUAAAAAUUAUAAAUUUCAAACCUUUAAAAAAAAUUUUCUCGGUAAAAAAUUAUUUCUAAUGGUUUUUGCUAAUUGUCUUUAUUUUUGUUGUGUUACCUUGUCGAUUGCUAUUGAAUUCUCAAAUUUUUUUCAAAUUAAUAUUUCCAAAAAAAUUUUCAUAUUUUCCUUAACUUUUUUCAAUUUUUUAUUUUUUUUAUUUUUUUUUACUUUGACUUCUUGAUUUUCACUAACUAAACAAUAAAAAUAAAUAAAAUACUUUUAGAGUUUUAAAUUUGGGUUUAAAAUUCAAUUUCACAAUUAAACCAAUUGAUCAAAAAAUGAUUUUAGAGCCUAAUGUCGAGAUGAAAUUUCAAAGCCAUUUAAUAUUGAAAUUUUUUUUCAAAAAGAAUAGAAUGUCUACAAUUGCUUUUAUUGUUGACUGUAUAUCUGAGUUUGUUGACUAUGAUUUUUUAAUCUAAUUUUUAUGCUUUAGUCAUUUUACAAGUUUUUUUAUUUUUUAUAUUUUAAGAAUAUUAUAAAAGAAAUUAACAAAAAGUGAAAAAAUAAAAUAAAUAAAAAAUAAAGAAAAUAUAUAAUUUAGUUUAUUUUGGGCUUAUAGUCUAAUUUGAGAUUAACCCAAUUUGUCAAAUUAAGUCCAAUUAAUAAUUCAAAUAUCCAAAAAAAUUUAUCUAAAUAUGAAAAAAAAUAUCACGCUCGAAUUAAUAAUUUAUGCUUUUAUAUGUUAUUUUAGAUCAAAUUUUAAAUUCGAUAAUUAAUUGAUAUAUAAGGAUCAAAUUUGAACACAUAUUAAAGUAGAAUGACUAAUUCUAUUAUUUAACCAAAGUAUAGAGACGAGCCGUGUAAUUUGAGAAAAGUUGAUGUGAAAAAAUGAUGAUGUGUUAAAAAAUUUUACCACAUCAUCAUUUUUUAUCACGAUGACUUUACACGUCAACAAAGUCAAUGGCCAUAUAAGCAAAAAUGCUACAUUAAAAAAGUUAAAAUACUAUAUUAUCAAUUUUUACAGAAAAAGUUUGAACGAUUAAUAAAUUAACUAAAGUCGACUAUUAAAUGAAUAGGAAUCCAAUUUGAACAGAUUAAGAUAAAUGGACUAAUUUUACUAUUUAACUAAAGUACAUAUAUCUGUUAUAUAAUUUGACCUAAUUAGGUUCAUCACACAAUAAACACUUUCCACCGCAGUCAUCGGCAUAACCUCCAAGACUCUAUCUCUCUCUAUUGCCUUAAAUUCAUAUAAGACAUAAAAAACAAAUUCUAGGAGCAAGCCAAGCAACACUAAGCCAUUUCUUAAAAUCUCACGUCAAGAGUCUAUUAAAGGUAGUCUAAGUUUAUUGUAUAAAUUUAUGGUCUUAUUUUUGUUCAAGUCAUUUAUAGAAAAUUUUAGUACAGAAAAUGACCAACAUUCUCUGUCUCUCAAAUAUCUAUAUCUCUGAUAACAAGAGGAAUUGGGGUGCAACCAUGGGGUUUAACAAGAUAGAGAUGAAGUUGAUUGAGGAUAAAACUUGCAGGUAAGUUACAUUCUCAAAAUAUCGAGUAGAUUUGCUUAAAAAAUCCAUGAAAUUUCUAUACUUUGUGGUGCUCAAAUUGGGCUCAUUAUCUUCUCAAACACUAAGGGGAAUUAGGGAUAUAGAUUUUAGGGUUUUGAUAAAAAAGAAUAAAAAAUAGAAAGGAAGGGCUAAAGGGUAAUUAGGUAAAGGGUUAGGAAAAUUAAUAAUGUUUUUGUUUAUUUUAAAUAUUUAAUUAUUUGAAUUUUGAUUUUUUCGAUCGGUUCAAAUUUAAAACUUCAACACAAAAAAGAAAAAAGAUAAAUUCGAGAACCAAAUCGAUUUAAUCUCUUAAAUCAAAAAAUCCAAAUCGAUUUAAUUAAAAUGAACGAUUUAGAUCAAUUUUAUUGAUUUAAAGUUAAUGCUUUCUCCUACUUUAAACAAUAAAAAAUGAAAUAGAAUGAUGCUUUCUCUUAAUCCUUUUACAUAUUGCUCCUAUUAAAAAUCUUUUGAAUUAUGUUUUGUUAUACUAAAAUGCAAAUAGAAUGAUGUUUAUAUUGCCUUUGAUAUAAUCAAAAUAAAAAUGGCUCUUCCUCUUAUUUUCUUAAAAUUAUAGCAACUUGAAUUAGGAUAACCGACGCGGAAUGCAGUUACAGCAAUAGUAUACUCUAAUAAAAAAUAUUACGAACUUAAGAUACAUAUGUAGAGCUCACCUCACUCUUACUUAACAUAUAAAAAAGGUUCUUCCUCUUAUUUUCUUAAAAUUAUAGCAACCCGAAUUAGGAUAAUCGACGCGGAACAUAGUUACCACAAUAGUAUACUAUAAUAAAAAAUAUUAUGAACUUAAGAUACAUAUGUAGAGCUCACCUCACUCUUACUUAACAUAUUAACAAUAGAUUUUUUAUUAUAUAUUUAUUAUAUUAUGUAUAAAUACAUAAAAUAAAGAUUAUCAAUCUAAAUUUGAUUUUUUUCACAUGCAACUACAACAAAAAAAAUCAAUUUAUUUUAUCACAUAACUCUUUCUUUGACCUAUUUUUUCUCAAUUUUUUUUCAUUUAUUUUUUUCCAGCCACAUAAGAGUGUCCAAAAUCUAGUAAUACUUAAAUCCGUUCUCAGCUAGGAUGAAUAAUCCUUCAAAGUUAAAGAAACUUAGAGUCGCCUCUUCUCUUGUAUUAUAAAUUUCUCAUAGGCUUUGCCUUUGAGAAAUUGCAAAUACAAAAAAUUGCAACCUUCCAUUCUUCUUUUUGUUGCAUUCCUUGUUUCAAGUUUGAAUAUGUCUGAUGAAUUAGAUCAAGUUUUAGUCCCAUGUUUGGAACGUGAGUUUAGAGGAACAUGAGGCUUUUCUAUGCAUACUAUUAUCCAACAUGUUUCCUAAUAAUGAAAGGGAUGAUGAUGAUCAAUUCUUUGAUGAUGCUUACAUGGAAGAUGUGGUCAUAUUCGAUACUGAUGAUGAUAUUAUGGAGUUUCUUGAGGAUGCUCUUAUUGAUGACGAUCCACCAAAGAUGAUCAGGCCUGCCAGUAAAUCAGCCAUUGAAGGGUUGGAGAAGGUAAAGAUCGAUGAAAGAUCAUUAGUGUCGUGUUUGGUGUGCUUUGAAGAUGUUUCAAUCGGGACUGAAGCCAAACGCCUGCCCUGCUCCAAUGUUUAUCGUACAGGUUGCGUUGUUAAAUGGUUUAAAGAGAGAAUACAUGUCCAUUGUGCCGCUAUAAAAUGCCUGUUGUGGAUUUUGAUCUAAUUGUCCCAUUGCCUGCCAUUGAUUCUGAUGUGGACUCUGAGAACAUGACUGCUACUAAUUGAUUUCAAGUGUCAUUUAUAGUAUGUAUUUAUUAGGGUUAUGUUCUAUUUUCUUUUUGUUUCUUUUGAACAAUUUGUUUGUAAACUUAAGGGUACCCAAAUCAUAAUGAAAUUGUCAUUUGGAACCCAAACCCUAAACCCUAAUCACCCAAGUCCUUAUCUUACAUGAUUAUUAAAAAAUUUACUGCACUUUUCCUUCUAAUUCUGAUGUUUUUGUAUUUCUUAUAAUAUGUUAUUUCUAUACAUGACCAUGCUCUCUACAACUAUUGAUAUAAAUUCUUGUUGAUUAGUUUGUUUUGUUUUGCAGGGUUUUUCUAUUUCUUAUCAAUAUCUUUGAGACCAAGAUUGGUCCUAAAGAACACUGUUCAGUCAAUCAAUGUUUUGAUCAAAUCAAGUGGAUACUUUACAGAAACCAGGACGUUGAGUUAGUAUUCACGAGAGCAAACAAGAGAAGCUAGUGUUUCCAACAAAAUGAAUUGAUACACUGACUCAAACGAAACUAAAUCCAACUUUUAAUCGAAGGCAGUAAAACUUUUAAUCAUCUAAGACUGCAAUACUAAUAUGUCUAUUACACUUUUUGCAGAAUCAAAAUUUGUGUCCAUAUUGGAUGUUUUCUCUUUCAGUUCUAUGUACUGUUGUAACAGAGCUCCGAAUUUUUUGUAGCAUGACUCCUGAUAUAAAUACAGAAAACAUCUGAUCUUACUUACAUUUAACAAAAAACUUCUUGUUCAACAAAGAAAAACCAGAAUCUAUUUCAACUAGAAUUGGUGGGGUGCGCCUGACCCAUGCAGCAGUGCAACGCAUGGGCGACACUUGAAGACCCCAGUAGCAAGCUACCGUGAUGGACCUUCUCCCUCAAAAAACUAAUUUAAUAUCAUGUGGAUCAAUGACCCACGUAUCAGAUAUUAAACUGAUAAGAACAGAUACUACACUUGAUCUUAGCCAAAAGGCCGAGAAAGGUAUGCUUUGCAAUCGCUCUCAACUUCUCUUUCAUAACUUGUCUCGCCCAAACCCUAUUCAACUGUUCAUGAUGUGGGAUAGGGAACUCAGCCAAGUGCAGUAACAUGUAUCUUUCGAUGACCAGUGAAAGCUGAUUGCUAGUUACCUGAAUAUCAGAGCAAAAUCUGGCAACAAAAACACUCUAACAAUUACCAUUUCCUUGGAAGAUUAUUUAUUAAUAAUUUGCGUAUUUGAAAUGGUAUUUGACAUCUGCUUUGAGAAGGCACGGUUCAUAUAAUCUAUAGGUAUAACUUCAAUGUCUUGUUUUAUGCUGCGUUUAGCUGCAAAAUCAGUCAUCUAUUGAGUCUCCUUCAUCCUUUCAAUCAUGCUUAUCUUCGUUCCUGCCGUAAAGGGUAUAACUUGUUAAUUUCUCAGUCUUAAUACCAAAUUAUGUCCAAUACUGAAAAUAUACAGUCAACUUAACGCAUCUCUGCUUCGCAGAUGAUUUACUAAUAUUUGCAAAGGGUAAGUUGGAUUCUGUUAUUGGUGUGAAGGAGGUGCUGAAGGUGUUUUAACACCUUUUCUGGCCUGCAACUUAACUGUGAGAAAAGUGAGUUAUAUUCAACAGGAAUUAAUAGAUGGGAGCUCAGUCCAAUAUAGCAGGUUUCUGGUUUUAAAAUUGGAUUGCUUUCUGUUAGAUACUUGGGGGUACCUUUGGUUACCAGGAGGCUCACCGGAAAAGAUUGUGCGCCACUAAUGGACAAGAUCACAACCAGGAUUAAAAGUUGGGCAGCUAGGCAUUUGUCUUAUGGUGGAAGGUUGCAGCUAAUGCAGUCCGUGCUGUUUGGUAUGCAAAACUAUUGGUCUAGGCGAUUCAUUAUGCCAAAGCAUGUGCUUAAGAAGAGAAAUCAACUAUGCUCCAGUUUCUUCUGGAAAAGGAGAGAAGGGUCCGCAAGGGGAGCUAGAGUGAGCCGUUGUGCAAUUUGUUUCUCUAAAUCUGAGGGAGGACUUGGUCUCAAAGAUAUAGUAUCUUGGAACCAGGCUUGUCUCAUGAAGAAUAUGCAGGACAUUUUUAUUAAAGCUGGUCCAAUAUGGAUAGCAUGGCUAGAAGCUUACGUUUUGAAGGAGAGGAGCAUCUUGCAGGUUCCAGAACAACAAAACAGUAGCUGGAACUGGAGGAAGCUACUUCAGCUUAGAUAGAUUGCACGGCAUUUUAUAAACAUAGAGAAUGGAGUUGAGAUCUAGCUUUUUCUAAGCAACACCUACUCAGCUGCUAUAGUAUGAAAUACGAUUAGGCCGAAACAAGAGAAGGUUGAAUGGCAUAAACUCAUAUGGUUUCAAUACCAUAUUCCAAAGCACUCUAUAAUAUCUUGGAUGGCUAUAUUAUAUAGACUUUCAACGAAGGACAGGUUGAAAACGUGGGGAAUUGAGGUGUAUGACAAAUGUUGCCUGUGCCAGAGAGAGGACGAAACCAGGGAACAUUUGUUCUUUGGAUGUGAUUAUUCAAAAUAGAUUUGGCAAAAGAUAUUACGGAAGUGCAGGAUCUUUCGGGGGUGGAGAACUGGUCCGAAGAGUUGAGAUGGGCAGUGAGCAAAUUGAGGGGAAAGCCUCCAUCAUAUUGCGAUUAGCCUGGAAUUCCAGACAUCAGAUAUGGAAAGAGAGCAACAGCAGGAUGUUACAGGUCCUUGAACACAUAAAAGAUGCUGUGAGGCUUCGAUUACAGGGACUAAGUGAGAUACACAUAAAAGAUGUUGUGAGACUUCGAUUAUAGGGACCAAGUCAGAUUGCUGCGAAUACAGUAAAUAAGAUGAUGUGUGAUACGUGGAAUCUUAAUGUUGCUAUGAUAGAAUAGGUUGCAAUUAGAGAUGCGUAUAUCGAUGGUUUGUAAAAGACAGUUGGAUUGUUGUAUUGUAGUAGAAUUCUGCUAGCUUGAUAAAUAAAAUACAAAUUAUCCAAAAAAAUUCUAAAAAUAUACAAUAAUAAAAUGCAUUACGAACUUAAAAUAUCUAUGCAGACCUCACAUCACUCUUAAAUAACAUAUUAACAAUAGAUUUUUUAUUAUAUAUUUAUUGUAUUAUGUAUAAAUACAUAAAAUAAAAAACAUAAAAAUAAAUUUGUUUUUUUUUUCACAUGCAACUACAAAAAGAAAAUCAAUUUAUUUUAUUGCAUAACCCUUUUCUUUGACAUUUUUUUCUCAUUUUUUCACUUUUUUUUUUGUUCCAACCACAUAAGAGUGUCCAAAAUCUUGUAAUAUGGAAAUCCAUUCUUAGCUAGGAUGAAUAAUCCUUCAAAAUUAAGGAAACUUACAGCCGCCUCUUCUCUUAUAUUAUAAAUUGCUUGUAGGCUUUGCCUUUGAGAAAUUGCAAUUAUAAAGAAUUGCAACCUUCCAUUCUUCUUUUUAUUGCAUUCUUUGUUUUAAGUUUGAUUAUGUCUAAUGAAUUAGAUCAAGUUUUAGUCCCUUGUCGGAAUUUGAGUUUGAGGGAUAGGAAGCUUUUCUAUGCAUACCAUUAUCUAGCAUGUUUCCUAAUAAUGAAAGGGAUUAUGAUGAUCAGUUCUCUGAUGAUGAUUAUAUGAAAGAUGUGGUCAUAUUCGAUACUGAUAAUGAUAUUAUGGAGAUUCUUGAGGAUGCUCUUGUUGAUGAAGAUCCUCCAAAGAUGAUCAGGCCUGAUAGUAAAUCAGCCAUUGAAGGGUUGGAGAAGGUAAAGAUUAAUCAAAGAUCAUUAGUGUUAUAUUCGGUUUAGUUUGAAGAUGUUUCAAUUGGGAUUGAAGCCAAACGCCUGCCCUGCGCCCAUGUUUAUCAUACAGGUUGCAUUGUUAAAUGUCUUAAAGAGACGAAUACAUAUCCAUUGUGCCGCUAUGAAAUGCCUGUUGUCGGUUUUGAUCUAAAUAUCCCAUUGCCUGCUAUUGAUUCUGAUGUGGAUUAUAAAAACAUGACGACUACUAAUUGAUUUCAAUGUCGUUUGUAUUAUGUAUUUGUUAGGGUUAUGUUCUAUUUCUUUUUGUUUCUUUUGAACAAUUUGUUUGUAAUCUUAUGGGUACAUACAGAACAUAAAUGCAUUGAUACACUG
rnacentral:lncRNA from 1 species